CAAUACAACCCGCGCCUCACGAAGGACUUGGACGCUUUCAAUCGAAACUGAUGGCUAACUUGAACUUGCCCUACCCAAAGAUGAUUGACAAAGCUGUACCCGCUAACCGUGAAUGUGGACUCUACGACAUACCAAAGGACAAGUGAAGAACAAAUCAAGCAAAAUCACAAACAUAUACCGGUUUAACAUCUACUUAUGAUCCGAAGCAAUAUCAGCUUUUAAGCAGUAUUUUAUGUUACUUGUAUGGUGAUCAAAUUUUGGGCUUUCACCGAAGAGUUUACUUUUUGUUAAAUAUAUAAAAAAAAUGCUUCAGUGGUCGAUCAAAUAUCAGGACAUGCAGCAAAUAUCAAGAUCGUACUUGAACAAUAAACCUAUAUCUUGGCUUGUA